GGUCUGACUGUUCGUUGCAUAGCUCAAUGGGCUUGGUUAUCAUCUGCUUUUACCACUUCCAUAAUAAUUCCGUUCACCUACAAAAAAACAACAGUGAAAUAUUUAUUUAAAAUUUUUUAAUUAAAUUUUAUUAACCAAAAAAGAACAAAUUUUUUGUAAAGAAAAAUAAAAUUUUUAUAGAAAAAUGUCAGUUCCUUCAAUAACACUGAAUAAUGGAUCAAAAGUACCAGUUCUUGGACUCGGUACAUGGCAGGGUGUUGACAGUCCGUCUGAAGUCGAAAGUGCAGUUCGAUUAGCAAUUGACAUCGGUUAUCGGCACUUUGAUUGCGCCGCUGUUUAUGGGAACGAGAGGGAAAUUGGCAAAGUUUUGCGAGAAAAAAUUGCAGAUGGCACCGUAAAGAGGGAAGAUUUAUUUAUUGUUACUAAAGUUUGGAAUGAUGACCACAAGGAACAGGAAGUGGUAAAAGCUUGUAAAGAUUCGUUAAAAAAAUUCGGUCUCGACUAUAUCGACCUUUAUCUAAUUCACUGGCCAGUGUCUGAUUCGGACGAUGUCGACUAUAUUGAAACGUGGCGGGGAAUGGAGAAAUGCGUGGAACUGAAAUUAACGAAAAAUAUCGGUUUGAGUAAUUUUAAUGCCGAGCAAAUAAGGAGAAUAUUGGCGGUUGCAAAGAUAAAACCAGUUAUGAAUCAAGUCGAAUGCCACGUGAAUUUAGUGCAGAAAAAAUUACGAGACUUGUGCCGUGAAUAUUCAAUAGAAAUUACAUCGUACAGUCCAUUUGGUGCACCAAACACACCGGGAUCAAAUUCGGGUUUCAAGUCCGUUGAAAAAGUCACACUCGACGCGCCAAUUCUUCUGAAAUUGGCGGAAAAAUAUAACAAAACGAAAUUUCAAAUCGCUCUCCGAUUUUUGGUCGACAUUGGCACGAUUCCGAUUCCAAAAUCGAGUACAGAAAAGAAUCUCAAGGCUAAUUUUGAUAUUUUCGAUUUUAAAUUGACAGCGGAGGAAAUUAUCGAAAUUGAAAAAUUGGAUUCUGGAAAGAGAACUUGCCCGGCAGUUCAAUACAAAGGAUUUAAAUACUAUCCAUUCGAUGACGAAUUUUGAGAACUCCCAGAGUACUUGAAACAAUAAACGGCUAAAUAAUCCCAAAUACAAAACUAAAUACAGAAAUUUGUAUAAGAAUAUAAAAAGAGAGAAUUCGAAUGGAUGUUGGUGCACGAGCGACGAGGUCUCUCUUCAUCGUCCGUGCUCUAGAACUGUAUCCCGCGUUGCAUUAAAAUAGUUACCUAUUCACUCUCAAUCGUUGCAUAAGGAACGUAAGAGAAUUGAAAUUUGAAAUCUUUAAGUUUUAAAACACGAAUUUUAAAAAUCAACUUUUAAAAAUCGGAUUUUGAAAAACAACUUUUAAAAAUCGAAUUUUGAA